GAUGAAGAACGUAGCGAAAUGCGAUAAGUAAUGUGAAUUGCAGAAUUCAGUGAAUCAUCGAAUCUUUGAACGCACAUUGCGCCCCCUGGUAUUCCGGGGGGCAUGCCUGUUCGAGCGUCAUUUCACCACUCAAGCCUCGCUUGGUAUUGGGCAACGCGGUCCGCCGCGUGCCUCAAAUCGUCCGGCUGGGUCUUCUAUCCCCUAAGCGUUGUGGAAACUAUUCGCUAAAGGGUGUUCGGGAGGCUACGCCGUAAAACAACCCCAUUUCUAAGGUUGACCUCGGAUCAGGUAGGGAUACCCGCUGAACUUAAGCAUAUCAAUAAGCGGAGGA
rnacentral:misc_RNA from 1 species